AGAGUUUGAUCCUGGCUCAGGAUGAACGCUAGCGGCAGGCUUAACACAUGCAAGUCGAGGGGUAUAGUAGCAAUACUAGAGACCGGCGCACGGGUGCGUAACGCGUAUGCAAUCUACCUUUUACAGAGGGAUAGCCCAGAGAAAUUUGGAUUAAUACCUCAUAGCAUUGCGAAAUGGCAUCAUUUUGCAAUUAAAGUCACAACGGUAAAAGAUGAGCAUGCGUCCCAUUAGCUAGUUGGUAAGGUAACGGCUUACCAAGACGAUGAUGGGUAGGGGUCCUGAGAGGGAGAUCCCCCACACUGGUACUGAGACACGGACCAGACUCCUACGGGAGGCAGCAGUGAGGAAUAUUGGGCAAUGGGCGCAAGCCUGACCCAGCCAUGCCGCGUGCAGGAAGACGGUCCUAUGGAUUGUAAACUGCUUUUAUACGGGAAGAAACCCCUCCACGUGUGGAGGAUUGACGGUACCGUAAGAAUAAGGAUCGGCUAACUCCGUGCCAGCAGCCGCGGUAA
rnacentral:rRNA from 1 species